rnacentral:rRNA from 1 species
AGAGUUUGAUCCUGGCUCAGGAUGAACGCUGGCGGCGUGCCUAAUACAUGCAAGUCGAACGGAGACAUUAGCAAUAGUGUCUUAGUGGCGAACGGGUGAGUAACGCGUUGGUGACCUGCCCCGAAGAGGGGGAUAACAGUCCGAAAGGAUUGCUAAUACCCCAUAUGGUCGUUUGGAUUAGAAGCCUUACGACUAAACGGAUUUAUUCGCUUUGGGAGGGGCCUGCGUCCCAUCAGCUAGUUGGUAAGGUAACGGCUUACCAAGGCGAUGACGGGUAGGGGACCUGAGAGGGUGGCCCCCCACAAUGGAACUGAAACACGGUCCAUACACCUACGGGUGGCAGCAGUAGGGAAUAUUGGUAAUCUGGGAAACCGGGAACCAGCAACGCCGCGUGCGCGAUGAAGGCCUUCGGGUUGUAAAGCGCUUUUGAAGGGAUGAGGGAGGACAGUACCUCA